CUGACACACUGAUGAGUGCAUAGUUCAGCAGAUUAAACAAUGAAGAAUAUCCAUUGUCUUUCGCUCCUAGCUGAUGUGUCGG